AGGUAGCGUAAAGAUAAUCCUUUUUUUCCCCCAAGAACUAGACGACACAUGGUUUGGGAGUCAACUGAGCUUUUAUUCCAAUGUCACCAUAUUUAUACAAGUCUGUACUGGAGAGAUAAUUGCGCAAGAAUAUACUGUUAAUUACAUUAUCUCUCCAGUCAGCAAAAUAUACCAUUUCACAUAAAAAUACAUAACUUGUACAAAUACUCUGAAUUGUCCAAAUGACCUUUUAUUGAAUGGCUGGGAUCUGAGCGCACCAUCUGGCGAAAUACCGCUCAGAUCCGUUCACUAGAAUAGUAAAGCCAUUUGAAUGAAGGGUUCAUACGAACACACAUUACAAUUAUACAGUAGAAAGUGAACUGUGGGUUCGUAAGCUUUAAACUGUCGAUUGCGCCCUAUUUUCACAAAUAAGUACUUGAUACGAAAGACAUGGAAGUCCAGCGGUGUUCGUGCAGUUGAGUAGCCAAUUUGAGUUCCAGGCACUCGGCGACCAAACACCGCUGGGCUUUCGUGAAAAAAAAGAUGGCCGCCGCCACGUGUUCGGUUAUACGAACGGUGGCUACCCAUAAAACCAUUACUGUUCUGUGGUAACAAUGUUGCCGUUUCAUUAAUUGGAGACACACGACUCUCUUGUGUGGUCUCCCGUUCAGCAUUUCAUUUGUUUCACGAACAGAGUAAUCCAAUAUGGUUCAUGAAACAUGCGUCCGAAUGCAGUCCUUAGAAUGUACAAAUAGCAUAUGAACACCGUCUUUAACACUCUGAAGUGGCUAGAUUUGCCACAUAACCAUUCCUAAACAGGAUGAAAAUCCAGAGAAUAUAGGAGAUUAUAGACCUAUCUCCCUCUUGAAUGUUGACAUAAAAAUAUUUUUGGCCAUUUUGGCAGAAAGAUUAGGUAAUAUUGUUCCGUCCAUCAUACAUAAUGAGCAGGUGGGCUUCAUAAAAAGUAGAUCGUCUGUCUAUAACAUCAGAAGAAUCAUAGACAUUUUGGAUAUGGCCCACCAGGACGUGGCCUCCCUCCUGACUGUCGUUAGAUGCUGAGAAAGCCUUCGACAGAGUCGGGUCUUAAAGGCAUUUGGUCUUGCUGGCAAUAUAAUUAAAUCUAUAAUGGACCUAUACUCUUUCCCCACAGCGAGAGUGUUUUUCAUCAGAAACUUUGCAACUGAAGAACGGAACCAGACAGGGUUGUCCACUCUCCCCCACUCUACCGAAUAGUUAUCGAAUGGCAAUUAGAGAAGACAAGCAGAUUAUAGGAUUCCCUGUUUUAACAGAAAGUGUAAAGAUCACUAUGUAUGCCGAUGAUGUGGUACUGACCCUGUGUGAUCCAUUGUCUUCUAUGGACAAAUUUAUGAGUUUUCACUACUAUCUGGGUACAAAUUGAAUAUAAGUAAAUCGACCGCUGUCGGCUAAUAUACUGCUUGAGUUAAGAAGGUCACUAUAUGAUAAGUUUGGGUUAGAUUGCUCGUCUUCUAAUUUUAUAUAUCUUGGAAUUCAAAUAACGAGAAACCCUCAAUCUUAUGGAGAGUAAUUUUAUGUCUCUACUUAAAUAUACUAGUAAAAAAUGUAAAAGAGUGGAAAUCUUUAGUUUCGUGGUGGGAAAGAAUAAAUAUCGUAAAAUCAUAUAUUCUACCAAAAUGGAUCUACCAAUUUUGCAUGUUGCCUGUAGCCUGUCCAGAUAGUUGGUUGAGUUUGGUGCAAUCUAUAUUCAAUAAAUGUAUAUGGUUGGGUAAACAACCACGUAUUAGUGCUAGUCGUUUAGCACUGAAAUUCAGCCAAGGUGGACUGGGCUUACCCUUGUUAAAAGACUAUUGGAAAGCCUGCAUGUUAACACAUAUUAUUUAUACUCCGUUUGAUAUUGUUAAAGAGGAUAUCUGGCGUAAAAUAGAAAUGGGUUUGACAAAAACUAGUGAUGUUACUAAACAGUUGAGAUCAAUAUUUUGUCAGACUAGGGACAAAAGAGAAAAAAAAAUACAGUAUAGAUAUUCAAAGAGUAUAGUAUUUAAUAAUCUUUUGAACACAUGGGAAAAACUUAGAGGGAUCUGUCACCUCCAAGAUAGAAUUAUCUCAGGCUUCCCAUUAUCUCAAUUAAUGUAUAAUGUUGCGGACUUAAACCUCUCAAAAUGGAUAAAGGCUGGCCUCAAUAGCAUUAAAAUAUACUGGAUAACGAUAAGAUUAGGGAUUUCACGCUGCUAUAUACAAAAUAUGGUUUAAAUAAAGAAAUCUUAAAUUUUAUUAGAAUAAAGGGUUACCUACAAAAACAUUUAAUUCCAGACAAUUCAUCCAAACAUAUUAAAGUAGGAAAAAUUAUAAAAGGUAUGAAAAUUAAUUACAGGUUAUAUGGAUUUAAGUAAGGGUGACCUUAAUAACCCGAUUUUACCAGUGAUAUAAAAAACUAAUGGGAGCAAGAAUUAAAAAUAG